rnacentral:rRNA from 1 species
GAUGAACGCUAGCGGAAGGCAUAAUACAUGCAAGUCGAACGGAUGUAGCAAUACAUUAGUGGCGCACGGGUGCGUAACGCGUAUGCAACCUACCUUCAUCAGGGGGAUAACUACCCGAAAGGGUGGCUAACACCGCAUAAUACUAUUGAGUGGCAUCACUUGAUAUUUAAAUCUGAGGAGGAUGAAGAUGGGCAUGCGUCUGAUUAGCUAGUUGGUGUGGUAACGGCGCACCAAGGCGACGAUCAGUAGGGGAACUGAGAGGUUGGUCCCCCACACUGGCACUGAGCUACGGGCCAGACUCCGACGGGAGGCAGCAGUAGUGAAUAUUGGUCAAUGGUGGGAACACUGAACCAGCCAUUCCGCGUGCAGGAAGAAGGGUCUCUGACUUGUAAACUGCUUUAGGAAGGGAAGAAAAAGCUCAUGCGUGAGAAAUUGACGGUACCUUGAGAAUAAGCACCGGCUAACUACGUGCCAGCAGCCGCGGUAAAAC